rnacentral:rRNA from 1 species
UGGGGAAUAUUGGGCAAUGGGCGAAAGCCUGACCCAGCAACGCCGCGUGAGGGAAGAAGGUUUUCGGAUCGUAAACCUCUGUCCUCAGGGAAGAAAAAGAUGACGGUACCUGAGGAGGAAGCCCCGGCUAACUACGUGCCAGCAGCCGCGGUAAUACGUAGGGGGCGAGCGUUGUCCGGAAUGACUGGGCGUAAAGGGCGCGUAGGCGGCCUUAUAAGUUUGGAGUGAAAUCCCCGUUUUCAAGAUGGGGACUGCUUUGGAUACUGUAAGGCUUGAGUGCAGAAGAGGUAAGUGGAAUUCCCAGUGUAGCGGUGAAAUGCGUAGAGAUUGGGAGGAACACCAGUGGCGAAGGCGACUUACUGGGCUGUAACUGACGCUGAGGCGCGAGAGCGUGGGGAGCAAACA